AUCAAUCUGGUGAAAUAUGGUAAACACGACUUAUUUAAAAUAAGUUGCUUAAAAGCUUAAAGGUUCAAGUCCUUUGAUUGAUA
rnacentral:tRNA from 1 species